UCCAGGGUAGCCUAGUGGACAUGGCAUCUGCCCGGUAAACGGAACAUUGUGGGUUCGUUUCCCAUCCCCCUGGAC
rnacentral:tRNA from 1 species